GAACGUAGGCGUUCCCGGUCCACAUCCCGGGAGAGAGAACGCAGGCGCCGAGAAAGGUCCAGGUCUCGGGAGAGAGAUCGGAGAAGGAGCCGCUCGCGAUCCCCGCACCGAAGACGCUCCCGAUCUCCAAGACGACAUAGAUCCACAUCUCCUUCCCCUUCUCGACUGAAAGAAAGAAGAGAUGAGGAAAAGAAAGAAACAAAAGAAACAAAGAGCAAAGAACGGCAGAUUACUGAGGAAGACUUAGAGGGCAAAACAGAGGAAGAAAUAGAAAUGAUGAAGUUAAUGGGAUUUGCCUCCUUUGACUCCACAAAAGGUAAGAAGGUGGAUGGCUCUGUAAAUGCCUAUGCCAUAAAUGUCUCUCAGAAGAGGAAGUACAGGCAGUACAUGAAUCGAAAAGGUGGAUUCAACAGACCUUUGGAUUUCAUUGCAUGAGAAUUGAAGUGUUGAAGGAUGAUUUUUUUUCCCCUCAUCUUGGUCAGAGAGUGGAUUUUGUAUUUUGUAUUUAACUUGCAUUCAAAAAACAGGAUCUCAGUUCUCCUUUCUUGUAAAGUAAGAAAAUCUUAUUUAUGAUAUAUGCAGUUAACUUACCUUGCCUCAACAGAAGAAAGGUUAAAUAUUACAUUUUUUUCUUUUAGGAAAUAUCAUUUGUGGCAGGCGUCAACCCCAUUUUAUUUGUCCUUAUUCCUGUGGAAGCAGUAUAUGUUUUCUUCCUGAAUGCUCAUUAGGACUUCUUAAAAAACAUGAAAGUAAUUUGGAAGUAAGUUUAUCCAAUAAAGCAGUAUUUCUACCCUUUUAGAUUUGAUAAAUAUUUUUAUUACUAAAGAAUCUCCCCAGACAUUUUCUUUUUUUUUUCACACAUAGAUUUAAGUAUCUUGAUUGUUAGUAGUCUAAAAAUGGGAAGAAUGAAAAAGCAUAACUAGAUUUUUCUAUCUUCUGUGGUCGCCCGCCCCCCCCCAAAAAAAUACCAUUUAUGGUUCUCUCCGCAAGUAUAAAAGCAUUACAUGCAAAAAAAAGAUCUCAGAG
rnacentral:lncRNA from 1 species